rnacentral:rRNA from 1 species
AGUGAACGCUGGCGGUAGGCCUAACACAUGCAAGUCGAACGGCAGCACAGUAAGAGCUUGCUCUUACGGGUGGCGAGUGGCGGACGGGUGAGGAAUACAUCGGAAUCUACUUUUUCGUGGGGGAUAACGUAGGGAAACUUACGCUAAUAGCGCAUACGACCUACGGGUGAAAGCAGGGGAUCUUCGGACCUUGCGCGAGUGUAUGAGCCGAUGUCGGAUUAGCUAGUUGGCGGGGUAAAGGCCCACCAAGGCGACGAUCCGUAGCUGGUCUGAGAGGAUGAUCAGCCACACUGGAACUGAGACACGGUCCAGACUCCUACGGGAGGCAGCAGUGGGGAAUAUUGGACAAUGGGCGCAAGCCUGAUCCAGCCAUACCGCGUGGGUGAAGAAGGCCUUCGGGUUGUAAAGCCCUUUUGUUGGGAAAGAAAAGCAGCAGGUUAAUACCCCGCUGUUCUGACGGUACCCAAAGAAUAAGCACCGGCUAACUUCGUG